rnacentral:rRNA from 1 species
CGUAACCUCGUUUUCCGUAGGUGAACUUGCGUAAGGAUCAUUA